rnacentral:rRNA from 1 species
AUUGAACGCUGGCGGCAUGCCUUACACAUGCAAGUCGAACGGUAGCGGGCCUUCGGGUGCCGACGAGUGGCGAACGGGUGAGUAAUGUAUCGGAACGUACCUUUCAGUGGGGGAUAACGUAGCGAAAGUUGCGCUAAUACCGCAUAUUCUGUGAGCAGGAAAGCAGGGGAUCGCAAGACCUUGCGCUGAUUGAGCGGCCGAUAUCAGAUUAGCUAGUUGGUGAGGUAAAGGCUCACCAAGGCGACGAUCUGGAGGGGGUCUGAGAGGAUGAUCAGCGACACUGAAACGGAGACACGGUCAAGACUCCUACGGGAGGAAGCAGGGGGGAAUUUUGGACAAUGGGGGCAACCCUGAUCCAGCCAGGCCGGGUGAGUGAAGAAGGCCUUCGGGUUGUAAAGCUCUUUCGGCCGGGAAGAAAUCGUAUCUGCUAAUACCUGGUGCGGAUGACGGUACCGGCAUAAGAAGCACCGGCUAACUACGUGCCAGCCGCCGCGGAAACAC